UGGGGCUGUGAGUGUGGAAGGGACUGUGAGUGUGCAUGGGGUUGUGAGUGUGCAAAGUGUGCAAGGGGCUGUGAGUGUGAGUGUGCAGGGGGCUGUGAGUGUGCAAGGGGCUGUGAGUGUGUGUGUAUGGGGCUGUGAGUGUGCAAAGUGUGCAAGUGGCUGUGAGUGCGCACGGGGCUGUGAGUGUGCAAUGUGUACAUGGCGUUGUGAGUGUGAGUGUGCAUGGGGCUGUGAGUGUGCAAAAUGUGCAAGGGGCUGUGAGUGUGAGUGUGCAUGGGGCUGUGAGUGUACAAGGGACUGUGAGUGUGAGUGUGGAAGGGGCUGUGAGUGUGCAUGGGGCAGUGAGUGUGAGUGUGCAUGGGGCAGUGAGUGUGCAUGGCGCUGUGAGUGUGAGUGUGCCUGGGGCUGUGAGUGUGCAUGGGGCUGUGAGUGUGAGUGUGCACGGCACUGUGAGUGUGCAAAGUGUGCAAGGGGCUGUGAGUGUGCAUGGGGCUGUGAGUGUGCAAUGUGUGCAAGGGGUUGUGAGUGUGAGUGUGCAAGGGGCUGGGAGUUUGCAAAGUGUGCAAGGGGCUAUGAGUGUGCAUGGGCCUGAGUGUGAGUGUGCAAGGGGCUGUGAGUGUGGAAGGGGCUGUGAGUGUGCAUGGGGCAGUGAGUGUGCAAUGUGUGCAUGGGGUUGUGAGUGUGAGUGUGCAAGGGGCUGUGAGUGUGCAUGGGGCAGUGAGUGUGCAAUGUGUGCAUGGGGUUGUGAGUGUGAGUGUGCAAGGGGCUGGGAGUGUGAGAGUGGGGCUGUGAGUGUGCAAUGUGUGCAUGGGGCUGUGAGUGUGCAUGGGGCUGUGAGUGUGCAAUGUGUGCAAGGGGCUGUGAGUGUGUGAGGGGCUAUGAGUGUGCAUGGGGCUGUGAGUGUGAGUGUGCAUGGGGUUGUGAGUGUGCAAGGGGCAGUGAGUGUGCAUGGGGCAGUGAGUGUGCAAGAGUGAGUGUGCAAGGGGCUGUGAGUGUGAGAGUGGGGCUGUGAGUGUGCAAGGGUCUGUGAGUGUGCAUGGGGCUGUGAGUGUGAGUGUGCAAGCAGCUGUGAGAGUGCACGGGGCAUGCAUGGUGCAGGUGCUGCAUGCAUGGGGCUGCGUGUGCAUGCACGGUGCAGGUGCUGCGUGCACAAUGCAGGUGCUGUGUGCAACACACUGUGCAUGCACGGUGCAGGUGUUGCAUGCAUGGGGCUGUGUGUGCAUGCACAGUGCAGGUGCUGCAUGUGCAUGCACGGUGCAGGUGCUGUGUGCAUGGUGUUGCGUGUGCAUGCAUGGUGCAAGUGCUGCAUGCAUGGGGCUGUGUGCGCAUGCACGGUGCAGGUGCUGUGUGCAACACACCGUGCAUGCAUGUCGCAGUUGCUGCGUGCAUGGAGCUCCGUGUGCAUGCACGGUGUGUGUGCUGCAUGCAUGGGGCUCUGUGUGCAUGCACGGUGUGGGUGCUGCGUGCAGUGCAGGUGCAGGGAGCGGUGCAGCUGUGCAUGCACGGUGUGGGUGCUGCGUUCAUAGGGCUCCAUGUGCAUGUACGGCGUGGGUGCUGCGUGCAGUGCAGUUGCAGUGAGCAGUGCAGGUGUGCAUGCAUGGCGUGGGUGCUGCAUGCAUGGGGCUUUGUGUGCAUGCAUGCUGUGGGUGGUGCAUUACAGUGCAGGUGCAGUGAGCGGUGCAGGUGUGCAUGCAUGGCCUGUGUGCUGCAUGCAUGGGGCUUUGUGUGCAUGCAUGGUGUGGGUGCUGCGUGCAGUGCAGGUGCUGUGAGCGGUGCAGGUGUGCAUGCAUGGCCUGUGUGCUGCAUGCAUGGGGCUUUGUGUGCAUGCAUGGUGUGGGUGCUGCGUGCAGUGCGGGUACAGUGAGUGGUGCAGGUGUGCAUGCAUGGUGUGGGUGCUGCGUGCAGUGCAGGUGCAGUGACCAGUGCAGGUGUGCAUGCAUGGCCUGUGUGCUGCAUGCAUGGGGCUUUGUGUGCAUGCACAGUGUGGGUGCUGAGUGCAGUGCGGGUGAAGUGAGCAGUGCAGGUGUGCAUGCAUGGCAUGGGUGCUGCAUGCAUGGGGCUUUGUGUCCAUGCACGGUGUGGGUGCUGCGUGCAGUGCAGGUGCAGUGAGCGGUGCAAGUGUGCAUGCAUGGUGUGGGUGCUGCGUGCAGUGCAGGUGCAGUGAGCGGUGCAGGUGUGCAUUCAGGGUGUGGAUGCUGCAUGCAUGGGGCUUUGUGUGCAUGCACGGUGUGGGUGCUGCGUGCAGUGCAGGUGCAGUGAGCGGUGCAGGUGUGCAUGCACGGUGUGGGUGCUGUGAGCA
ensembl:lncRNA